UUGGUAGAACCUCGGGGCUACGCUGAGCCUCAACCUGAACUUGGGAGUUCAUUUUGUUUCUCUGCGUCUGGAGCAGAAAAGAAAUAGCCCGGGGAUAUUUCAACUAUUAUUUUAUUUAUUUCUCUGCUCAUCUCUCCUGCCUGCCACUUAGUGUUUCGGUAAAACCUCUGGAAUCACAGGCAGAAAGAAAAGCUGCUUUAAAAAAGGACGAAAUCCUCGCCCACUCCUCAAUCUUCACCUGAAUGAUCGUGUAGCAAGGCCUCAGAUGCGAGGAGGAGGUGGAGGAGGAGGAG